ACAAAACAUGAGGCCAAAUGGGAAUAUGAGAACUCGCUAUAAAUACAAGGCUCAUUCGGCUAUUGACUUACCAAAUACCAAGCAGCAAGCCAAACAAGUUGGAUGCGUAUUGAAUACAUAAUCCAUUAGGUGCCCCCUAGAGUUCCCCUGACCACUUCACUGGGGAUCUUCUUUAAUGACUUCCUACUGAAGUGUUUGGGGGAACUCCUGGUGUCAUUUAAUACCUAUCAACCACAGGCAUGAUCAAGGUUGAUGGACAGGGAUAAAUAUUCUAGCAGAAGGAUGGCUAACGUGUACUUUUCACCAAGUCAUCAACAGACGUGUUAUGUAUUAAGGAGCAACUCGGUACAUCUUGGUUGGGCUUGGGACGAAGAAACAAUAGGGUACACAAGGUUUCCUUUGAUUUCAGUUCCAUGGCGACAAGUUUUAUUUUAUUUUAUUUUUUACUUUCAACUUUUGAGAUGUACUGAAAAUUCAAGCAAUUAAUUUCCUUCAAAAUUAAGAAAAAUAAUAGUGGAUUUCUAAUCAA